rnacentral:pre_miRNA from 1 species
GAUUCUUCUGUGGUUGCCACGUGUGAAUGUUUGACGUGUACCCAUUGGAAGUUUUCGG